GUCCCAGUUCGGAUUGUAGGCUGCAACUCGCCUACAUGAAGUCGGAGUUGCUAGUAAUCGCGGAUCAGAAUGCCGCGGUGAAUGCGUUCCCGGGUCUUGUACACACCGCCCGUCACACCAUGGAAGUUGGGGGCGCCCGAAGUUGCCUAAGAAAUAAGGUACCUAAGGCGAAACCAAUGACUGGGGUGAAGUCGUAACAAGGUAUC
rnacentral:rRNA from 1 species